rnacentral:lncRNA from 1 species
AAAGGAGAAGAUUAUUCUCUUUAACAAACAUAUACGGAUCCAAUCACGAUCUUAUAAUAAGAACAAGAGAUCUUUGCCCUCAUUCUUCGAGAAUCAGAAAGAUCCUUUUCAAAUUUGAAUUUGUUUAUUUGGAAUCUAGGUUCUUCUAGUUUAUGUUUAUUUAACAUUUUUAUUUAAAUUGAAUAUUUUUCCUCUCUCUUUUUUUUUUAUAUCAUUCCUUAAGUCCCAUAGGUUUGAUCCUGUAGAAUUUGACCCAUUUCUCAUUGAACAAGGGGUACAAAAUAAAUCAGAUUGAUUUUUCGAUCAAAAGUACUAUGU